CUUCCCAGCCUGAGGUCAGCAAGUCUGAGAAAAGGGGGGGUGUCCUACCUGGGACUCCAGUCCCCCGAGCCUGGCCAACCCACAGCCCUUACCCCAGCACCACUCACAGAGCCCCCCUCCUGUCUGAGUACAAAGUAGAAGCCUAAGGGGGCUGAAUGGCGGAAAGGAGGGUUCAAGCCACCAACAGAUCGGUGUCCACAGAUCUGUGUCCACAGGCUUAUAGAGCAAGGGCCUGGUGCAGGCAAGUUCAAGGCCUGAUUGCUACCUUCUGCUGAGUGGCUGUGGCCAAUGGCUUUCCCUCCUGGGCUGCAAGGGGACAGGUGCAGGACAGAUCCUUAACGGUGAUCUAUUCCCAGAGAUCUCCUUUCCUGGAGGCAGGAUGAAGCCUUGAGAAGGGUCUCAGGUGCUGCACUGACAGAGGCCUGAACACUGGCUCUACCUGUUCUGGCUGUGAUGGCACACAGCAUUUAAAGGAGAUGAUCCUACAGCCUCAGAUUGGGAGAAAAACUAAACAAAACCAAGAGGAGCUCCUGGAAUCAACCCCAACCUCUCUCCAUAGUCCCUGAGGCCCUGCAGGGUCCAGUUCUGCUGACCACACACUCUGCUCAACCUUGAACACAUCAGGCUCACCCCUGCUCCAGGGCCUCUGCACUGGCCACGCUGCUACCCAGACACGGGGCUGUCAGCGUGCAGCACAGCCAGACCCCUGUGGCCACUGAAGUCUCAGCCCAGCACCCAGUUAGAUCCUGCCAGGAUCCCCAUCUUCAGAUGGGGCAACAGAGAGGACAGCAGUGGGGUAACCAGCACAGCUGGGUGUGAACUCCUGCGGAGUCCAGCUGGGUACCCUGAACACAUUGCCCCACUUCUCCAGGCCUCCAUUUCCCCCUGUGUAAAGCAGGUCUGCUGUGGUCUGAGAGGAGACACCCCCCGCUCUAGUCCUGCAUGACCCUGGAUGUGACAAAGGCUGUCUCUGGCCCCGCCCCAAGUGACAGCGGAAGAAGGUACUGGAGCCAGCAGAGUGCGGGGUAACCAGGGGAGGAGGCAGAGCACAAGGUGGCCAGGAGAGAGGAAGAUUCCAGGAGAAAAGCUGAAGACAUUGACACGGCCCCGGCUGGAACACCAUAGGGAAAACCACAGCAAGAACAAGAAGACUCCAGGAUGACUUCCCAGACAGGCUGGCAGGACAAGUCCCAAGGGCAUCUCCUGUCUGCUCACCUUGUUGGAAGGUUCCAGCUUCAGGGCUGCCCUCAGAAUGGGGAUGGCCUCACUGUACUCCCCUUGCUGGGCCAGCACCUGUGGGAGGAAAUGGAUGACAUCACUCCAGAACCACAACGGACCGUGGUCUUCUUCAAAAGACCCA